UACGAAGGGGCAAGCGUUGUUCGGAAUCAUUGGGCGUAAAGGGCGCGUAGGUGGUUCUGUAUGUCUACCGUGAAAGCAUACAGCUCAACUGUAUUUUGUCGGUAGAAACUGCAGGACUUGAGGCUGGGAGGGGCUGGUGGAAUUCCCUGUGUAGCGGUGAAAUGCGUAGAGAUGGGGGAGAACACUCGUGGCGAAGGCGGCCAGCUAGACCAGUUCUGACACUGAGGCGCGACAGCGUGGGGAGCAAACAGG
rnacentral:rRNA from 1 species